UACGUAGGGUGCAAGCGUUUGUCCGGAAUUAUUGGGCGUAAAGAGCUCGUAGGCGGUUUGUUGCGUCGGCUGUGAAAUCCCGAGGCUCAACCUCGGGUCUGCAGUCGAUACGAGCAAACUAGAGUGUUGCAGGGGAGACUGGAAUUCCUGGUGUAGCGGUGAAAUGCGCAGAUAUCAGGAGGAACACCGGUGGCGAAGGCGGGGUCUCUGGGCCGAAAACUGGACGCUGGAGGAGCGAAAGCAUGGGGAGCGAACAGG
rnacentral:rRNA from 1 species